ACAUGGUUUUAUGCAAGAAGAGGAAACAGAAGCUAUUGCUGAAGAUGAAAACACAAUAAUAGCUUUUAAUGAUCACGGAGAGAGAAUAGAAGUUUAUGAUGAGCAUGGGAUAAGAAUAGAACACCUUUACAAAUUCGGGAAGAAGGUAGAAACCUAUGAUAAAGAUGGAAAUA